GCUGUGUCCCUCACGGAGGGAGAGGGGGCACACACCGUCCUUCAGGGGCUUGGGCGUCCCUCCUCGAGUGGCAGCAAAGGGAGUAUCUACAGGCCAAGCAAACCGUGCGGAAGACAGAGGAGAAGGCAGAGGUGGAGAGACAGAGGACUCGCACGCACUGGCCACACACCACGGGCCAGCAUCUCUCUUCCACCCCCGCCUCACAACUGGGCACUCUGGGGACACAGAGGUGUCAGCCAGGAGAGCACUCGCAGUGCGGCCUUCUGGAAGAAGUUCGGAUGGGGAAACUGAGGCUCAGAGAUCUAAAAUGCCUAGAGUGGCUAACCGCUCAGUGGUGCAACCAGGAUCAAAACCCUGCCUCCGGGGCUCUCCCAGGCUCCUUCUCUGCUGACAACCUUCAGCCCCCUGUCUCAGGGGACACAGCCAGAGACAGAAAGUGAGCACAAGCAGGGGGAGCAGGAGAGGGAGAUGCAGACUCCCCGCUGAGCAGAGAGCCCGAUGUGGAGCUGGAUCCCAGGACCCCGGGAUCACAACCGGAGCCGAAAGCAGACGCUUAACCAGUGGAUCCAUCCAGGCGCCCUAAUGAAUUUAGUUUAAAGAUAAAUUCCAUAUGACUUCUGGAAAUGAAUCACUGGUAAUCAGUAUCACUUGCCAUAAAUACGGUGAGAAAAAGUAAUCUCUGUUCAGAGCCAACACGUGCAGGGCACAGCCCAAAUUCAUUCCUGUGUUCUCAUUCAGUCCCUACUCUAAUCACCCCCACCUUACAGAUGAGCUAUCUGAGGUAGCACAGGCCUGAGCCGGCUCACUCUUUGUGAGAAGGUGAGGUGAGCAAGCAUUAGGGAAGGGAGAAAACGCUGCUUGGGGAAGGCAAAAGGAUCAGAAGAGAAUUGGAAAGGGAGAGAAUUUUCUCAUUGUGAGUCUGGUAGGCAGACUAAUGACCUCCCCAUCAUAAGAUGUCAGUGCAGAUCCACAGAAUCUGCAAACGUGUCCUCUUUCAAAAUAAAGGGGACUUCGCAGAAGUGAUCAAGUUGAAGAGCAUGGGGAGUGAUAAGCCUGCACUGCCCGGGUGGGCCCAGCAUAGUCCCAGCUGCCCUUGCAAGAGGGAGCCAGAGGGAGAUGUGAUAGCAGAAGAGGAGGUAUGAUGAGGAAGCAGGGAAGGAGCAAGGUGGCCAGGAGCCAAGGAAGGCCACAUGCCUUUCUGCUUAUAGAGGUUGGAAGAGGCAAGAAAAGACACCGUCCUCUGACGUCUCUUUGGGGAACCAGCCCUAUGGUCACCCUGAUUUUCAUAAGACUGAUUUUGGAUUUCUGAUCUCAGGAGCAGGAAGAGAGUAAAUGUGUUUAUUUUAAGCCAGUAGGUUUGUGAUAAUUUGUUACACCAGCAACAGGAAACCAAUAGAGUUGGAUUCCAUGCUAGGUGAAGCUGUGACCCUGUCCACUGAUGAUCCCCCUCCAGUGCCACCAGUGGCCUUUGUCCUGCACCCAAAGAACAAGGAGCUCCUCUACUCCCUCACCCCUUCCCCUCUUCUCCAACUCCCCCAUCUCUGGGUAAAGAAUACACACUGGGGGGAGUGGCUUUAUGGGUUUGGUCACUUGUUCAUGUCAUUCUGGGACUACUGUGGACUGAGGUGGCCCCUGUGGGCCUCAGUUUCCUCAUGUGCAAAUGGAAGACCAAAGCUGUGGUUUUCAAGGCCCUAAGAGGCAUUCUCCUGGGCCCAGAGCCCCAGAGAUUCUGACCUAGGAGGUGCAGAUGAGGCCUGGCAUCCCUGCUCCGAUGAUGCACACCCCACUUAGAGAGGCGAGAGAUCUGGGGAGGCAGCCUGGUCCCCGGAGUCAGCCCUCGGAAAGCUGCCGCUCAUCAACCUGUUCCUUGGAGCCUGAAGCAUCAAGUUCCUGCUCUACCACGUUCCAGCUGUGUGAUCCUGGACAAAUGCCUGUGCCUCUCUGGGCCUGUUUCCUCACUGUAAACUGGGACUAAUGAUAAUCUAUACUUCAGAGGGCAGUUGUGAAGUUUCAAAAAUUACUAAGUGCAGAUUGCCUGGUGGGCAGCUGGUUCUCUGCACCUUGCCUCUCCAAUGGCUGGCACAGCACUCCAGACCCCGCACACACCUGGCCUCACCAGCCACUCCCGCCGCAUCCUUGCCCCCUCGCUGUGCCCUUCCUCUGGUUGUGGCCACGUGAGCCUCUCGUGAUCCCUCAGCUCCCUGCCUGCUCACGUUGUCUGGAAUGCCCUUCCUCUCCACCGGAGAGCCCUGACUUACCCUCCAAAACCAGCUCAGCGCCGCCUCCCCAGGGAAGCCUUCCUUCUGGUGUCCAGGCCCCAGAUUCCUCCCCCUGGUUCCCCCCAUACCUAGAACUGGGUCAACCUUCGCUACGAUGACCAGUGUAUCACCUGACUUCACUAUGCGAUCUGCAGUCCCUUGAGGGCACGGGUGUGGUUUUGUUUUUGUAUUUGUUUUUGUUUUUUGUUUUUUCAGGGCUUUGGAUGAUGUUCAGCAUGAAUUGGGCUCUAUGCACAUUUGUGAGCGAGUGGCAGAGGCUAUGGGAUGUCUUUUUGCGUUGGUUUGUUCUGUGGAAAUUGGGGCCACGGCAGUCACUAUCCCAGGAGUCUCCGUGAAUCAGAAAUGAGUUGAGACCUCUAAAGUGUCUGGACCAGUGACCACCUGGUCUCAUCUCUGUUUACCAGGAUAUCGGUCACUGCUUACCCAGGGUCCCGCUGGGUGGGUUUUCAAGUGACCUGCCCCCAAGGCCAUUUCUAAGAUCGAGGAAGACCAUUAUCGAUUCAUUCAUAAAUGUGAUCACUUAACAUUGAAAAGCCAGACAGACACUUUUCCAGAAACUUAAUACUUUGUAAAAGUUCAUGGCUCAAACAUUUUGUAAUUCACAUUAGAUUUCUUAGAAAAUUCUAUGCUAAAUAUUUAUUUUUAAUUUUUGACUAUUUUUACAAUCUGUGAAUUUUGGGAUUCUGCCGCAGAGACGGAUUUUUCAUAUAAUCUACUUCCUUCCCCUCAAUUUCAUCAAAAGCCAUAAAUAACUGAAUAUAAUUCCCUUAAGAAUUUUCUCACUGGAGUCACUGAGAGGUGAGUCCAAGAAAAACAAUAUGGUCAAUUGUGUUUAUUACUGUAAGAGUUUGGGCUAUUGAAACUUAGUAUUAAAGAGAUUAUUUAUUAUA